ensembl:lncRNA
GGUUUAUCCAUGAUGCACUUCUUUUUCGUCAACAACUGAUGCUAUCAUGCUACUGAUUGGCCUAAUUUAGCUAAUCAGACUAUGGUAAUUGCUCUCAAUUUCAAGAGGCUGUCUUCUCAUUUAUCUGUGGAUGGCGUCUCAACAUCAAAGUCUCCUCAGCACGCUGUGCUCCUCUGAGCAUUGAACAUUUCAAAUGUAGGUCUACAAACUCCAGAAAAAAUGUGUUGUGAAGGCCUUCUGCUUACUAGAGGUGAAAAUACGUGCUGAUGGCAACUAUAGGAGUGAAUCAUUAAUGGAUGAGAACUGCUGAAUAGAAGCACACCUGUGGCAUCAGCAUGGAUGAGAGAGGCCUGGAGAUCUCGACCCAGACAUGCCCUGUCAAAAAGGGUGAAAGCCUGCACCCGUCUGUACGAAUACAAGUCCAAUAUUCAUCCAGACAGCGUGCCCUUUCUCAAAAGUCUGCAUGUACAUUCUGCUUCUCAAAAAACCUAAUUUGAGUCCUCAAGGAGCGACGGCAUCAGGAGAGAAGACACAGCGUGUGCUCACAUCUGUAGCAGCAGAUUUCGUUUCUUGCCACAGGUGACCCAGUAACCAGAUGUUACACUGAUCAUACUCCUGCUUCCAGUGUAUUCAGCCCCACAGAGACUCUACUGGAAAUAACUGUACUGUAGCUGUGGAUGAAAAGAGUCCGCUAGACCAGGUGUUUUCAAACUAGCCUCCUGGGGACAAUACGGUUCUAUUUUACUGUAAGAAAAUAGUAUAAUCCAAAAUAAAAAGCAAAUGGAGCAAGGCUAUAC